rnacentral:lncRNA from 1 species
CAGCCAUCAGAUCAGAUAGAAACCUUUAAUGUGUGUGAUCCCGCAGGUUCGAACCUAAGCCGGUAGCACAGGAACCAAUUUCUGUACUAAUCGAAGUGACCAUCUAGCAAUGGUACCCGAUGAUCGGAUAGGUCGAAUAGUCACAAUCGCAACACUCAGAACCUACAUGAAUAUGGUUACUGUAUAAUUCAUCCUUUUGACCUCUGUGUUUAUGAUGACUCAGGGUUAAACUGUCAACCCUGAUUAGAUCAUCCGAAUCGUGCUCAACUCAAAGUCUUGUGACUCCUCACAAGGACUACCCUGACCAAGGUUUUGCUAAAUUGAAAUACGACUGUACACAGCUCCUAAACUGGAGUGGUCAAUCCCAUCUUGACACACGCACCGACAAGUCAAGUACUUGACUACACCCAGCAGCCUUCCGUCACUGAAUUAGAAAUUCAGGUAGUCCAGUGCCUAAGUGCAGUGAGUUGCUUGCAAGUCACCGUGGCGGUCUCAGAUCGGAGGAACAUUUAUAC